CCGGAAAUGGCAGGCAAGCUGAGCAAUUUGGGUUCAAGGCUCCUUGGCGGAAAUGGCGUUGUUGGUCGCUCAAUCGCUUCAUCUCUUCGACUUCGCUCCGGCAUGGGCCUUCCUGUCGGCAAACACAUCGUCCCCGACAAACCCCUUCCUGUGAACGACGAACUGGUUUGGGAUAAUGGAACUGCUUUUCCCGAACCCUGUAUUGAUCGCAUUGCAGAUACGGUUGGAAAGUACGAAGCCUUGGCUUGGUUAUGUGGGG
rnacentral:misc_RNA from 1 species